GACGAACGCUGGCGGCGUGCUUAACACAUGCAAGUCGAACGAUGAAGCCUUCGGGUGGAUUAGUGGCGAACGGGUGAGUAACACGUGGGUGAUCUGCCCUGCACUUCGGGAUAAGCUUGGGAAACUGGGUCUAAUACCGGAUAGGACCAUGCCAUGCAUGUGGUGUGGUGGAAAGCUUUUGCGGUGUGGGAUGAGCCCGCGGCCUAUCAGCUUGUUGGUGGGGUGAUGGCCUACCAAGGCGUCGACGGGUAGCCGGCCUGAGAGGGUGUCCGGCCACACUGGGACUGAGAUACGGCCCAGACUCCUACGGGAGGCAGCAGUGGGGAAUAUUGCACAAUGGGCGCAAGCCUGAUGCAGCGACGCCGCGUGGGGGAUGACGGCCUUCGGGUUGUAAACCUCUUUCAGCACAGACGAAGCGUGAGUGACGGUAUGUGCAGAAGAAGCACCGGCCAACUACGUGCCAGCAGCCGCGGUAAUACGUAGGGUGCGAGCGUUGUCCGGAAUUACUGGGCGUAAAGAGCUUGUAGGUGGUUUGUCGCGUUGUUCGUGAAAUCUCACGGCUUAACUGUGAGCGUGCGGGCGAUACGGGCAGACUAGAGUACUGCAGGGGAGACUGGAAUUCCUGGUGUAGCGGUGGAAUGCGCAGAUAUCAGGAGGAACACCGGUGGCGAAGGCGGGUCUCUGGGCAGUAACUGACGCUGAGAAGCGAAAGCGUGGGGAGCGAACAGGAUUAGAUACCCUGGUAGUCCACGCCGUAAACGGUGGGUACUAGGUGUGGGUUUCCUUCCUUGGGAUCCGUGCCGUAGCUAACGCAUUAAGUACCCCGCCUGGGGAGUACGGCCGCAAGGCUAAAACUCAAAGGAAUUGACGGGGGCCCGCACAAGCGGCGGAGCAUGUGGAUUAAUUCGAUGCAACGCGAAGAACUUACCUGGGCUUGACAUGCACUAGAAACACCUAGAGAUAGGUGCCCCCUUGUGGUUGGUGUGCAGGUGGUGCAUGGCUGUCGUCAGCUCGUGUCGUGAGAUGUUGGGUUAAGUCCCACAACGAGCGCAACCCUUGUCUCAUGUUGCCAGCGGGUAAUGCCGGGGACUCGUGAGAGACUGCCGGGGUCAACUCGGAGGAAGGUGGGGAUGACGUCAAGUCAUCAUGCCCCUUAUGUCCAGGGCUUCACACAUGCUACAAUGGCCGGUACAAAGGGCUGCGAUGCCGUGAGGUGGAGCGAAUCCUUUAAAGCCGGUCUCAGUUCGGAUCGGGGUCUGCAACUCGACCCCGUGAAGUCGGAGCCGCUAGUAAUCGCAGAUCAGCAACGCUGCGGUGAAUACGUUCCCGGGCCU
rnacentral:rRNA from 1 species